rnacentral:rRNA from 1 species
CCUACGGGAGGCAGCAGUAGGGAAUAUUGCUCAAUGGGGGAGACCCUGAAGCAGCAACGCCGCGUGGAGGAUGACGGUUUUAGGAUUGUUAACUCCUUUUGUUAGAGAAGAUUAUGACGGUAUCUAUCGAAUUAGCACCGGCUAACUCCGUGCCAGCAGCAGCGGUAAUACGGAGGGUGCCAGCGUUACUCGGAAUCACUGGGCGUAAAGCGUGCGUAGGCGGGUUAAUAAGUGAGUUGGGAAAUCUUGUAGCUUAACUACAAAACUGCAUUUGACACUGUUAGUCUGGAGUGUGGGCGAGGUAGGUGGAAUUCGUGGUGUAGGGGUAAAAUCCUUAGAGAUCAAGAGGAAUACUGAUUGCGAAGGCGACCUACUGGAACAUUACUGACGCUGAUGCACGAAAGCGUGGGGAGCAAACAGGAUUAGAUACCCGGGUAGUC